CGGGAUCUAUGGAGUGGACUAGAGAAGAUAAUGGCGGUGAAACUUCUUCAAGCUAAAGUUGAAACAUGUGUGGAUAAACUUCUUAAGGGAUAUAAGAACACUACGGGACCCUUCCCCCUGAAGGAGGACUUUCUCCGUCAGACGGAGAAAUAUUUCCCCUCCUACUUUCACGAGGAGUUCUCCGCCCACUGGGACGAAGGAGGGCGGAUCAGUGAAAUUAAACUUGUAAUAACUCAUCCAAAGGAGGACAAGGAGACCCAGCUGGUUGUACUCCGGAGGAUAGAUAGAGAGGAGGUUGCUGAGACUGUUGCAACUAUAAGUCAGAUUUGUAAUAUUGCACUUCAGGAUGCUGGAAAUAUCGAGAUAUCCAGGAUGAAUGGUAUCCCCCUAUACUUCAGGAUAUUGAACCAACGGGAUACAAUAUCCAUUCUCAGCCUACUCUGUGGAUAUUAUAGGCUAGUUGAAAAAUGGUCCUUCUCCCUCUGUUCUGAGCUUAAGUAUCCAAUUUUAGAGGAUUUAAUAGCUAAUAAGGUCCAUGGUCCUAUAACUAAGGAAUUUGCUAUCUCCAAAUUACAGAAGCUAAAUUUCAAGAAAGGUUCUUUUCUUCUCCGUCAGAGUCCUGAUAAACAUGAAAAGAUAUUUCUCCUGUUCUGCUACGAGACUGGAUGCAGACCUGAGGAGCUGUGUAUUCUACGGGAUAAGGAUACAGGACUCUAUAGCUUGGACAGAGGUGGGAGAUUCCAAUUGCCAGAGGAAGUGUAUCAACCAUUUUCCUCAGUAUCUCUUGUUGUUCAAGCAAUUAGAACCGGUCAAACCUGUUUCCAGCUGUUGGACUGUAUACACUUGAGCGAAUAUGAUAAAUGUCCUUCUCUUCUACUCUGCAGAAAUCCAGUCCAAUGGAAGCAUGAUUCUUUAGGAAGUAAACCCAGCACAACAUCCGACAGAUAUUUUAUACCAUACAACAACCUUUCUAAGUUUGAAGGGAUUUGUCACCAGGGUCGAAUGUGUAAAGUGUGGAAAGGAGAGUGGAGGCAAAAUACUGCAGAUCGAAGAGUAGUUGCAAUAAAACAGUUAAAGAAGGAUUUAAUGGGAGAGAAAAUGACGGAGUUUCUAAAUCUAGCGACGAGAGUGAUGAGAUGGGAUGAUCCAAGCCUAGUAACUGUAUAUGGAGCUUGUUUACCAAUGGAGAACGAACCACUCGUUAUUGUCAGAGAAUAUUUUGAGUAUGGCCCCCUGGAUGCGUAUCUAAGAGAGAAUAAGUCUAAAAUCCAGAAUGUUGAUAUGCUAGAAGCAGGGACUAGUCUAGCUAGAGCACUCUACUAUUUACAGGGAAAGGGAUUAGUUCACGGUGAAAUCAGAUGUCGGAACGUUUAUGUUAUGGAACACACAGAUAAACUUCUCAAGGUUAAACUUUGUGAAGGGGGGCUCGGAGCACCACGAAUAGAAGAUGUUCAUUGGUUAGAUUGGAUUCAGCUCCAGGGUCUUCUUAAUUCUGGAGCUUUGCUCAACUCUGGUUUCAAGACCACUCCAGGAAGUAUUGGAAGCCCGGGAGGUGGUUCCUGUACUGUAGGAGGAAACAAUAACAGACUGAAGUGCUCCCUAGCUAGUGAUAUUUGGUCCUAUGGAACCCUGCUUUGGGAGAUUUUUAGUAAAGGGGAACCCCCACUACCCAAUACUCCGCCAGUAGAAGCAUGCAAGCAAUAUAUCUCUGGUGUUCGGUUGAAAUGGCCCUUGGGAUCCCAGCUUAAACAGGUUGAAAUGAUUAUGAUGAACUGCUGGAGCCCUUUACCAGAGCAGAGAAUUAAACCACAAACAAUCAUGCGAGAUUUGAACCAAAUACUUUACAGGGUGUUCAACUCUAGGCGUGCCAAUGAUUAUGUAACAAUAGAUUCCGGUGUUACUAUCUCUACAACAGCAAUAUCUAGUCCUGGUACACCUCCCACUCCUCCACUCACAUCUACACUACCUUGUUCAGCAGAUAGAGAUCAAGGGACUCUAGUACCUGUAUUCACGGAGCACACUAGGAAUCUAUUUGAAUCAAGUAUAAACCAGUUACUAAACUUUACCGGGUUCGGAGAAACAGACUCAACCUCACCACUCAUCAACGACUCAGAAAGUUCAAGUUCUCUGUACAAUUCUGAUAUAUCAGCACUAACUUACCAGACAAGCCUGGAUUAUGGAGGAAACUACUCAAUUACUUCAAUAUAUCCGUUGGAAGAUGAUCAGAUUGAGUACAAUACAGAUUUCCCAUUGGGAGAAGGAAACUUUGGGAUUGUUUACAAAGGUGUACUUACUAAGAGUGACGGGGACUGGGAACAGGUUGCGGUGAAGAUGAUUAAGGAUACAGAUAUUAUGCCACAGUCUGCAUUCGACGAUAUGGAACGAGAGAUUGGUCUCAUGAAACGUCUCUCUCAUGAGAACAUUGUCAAGAUCAGGGGGUACAUAUCAAACAUAGGAACCCACACAAUCAUCGUUAUGGAGUACAUCAGGGAGGGUAGUUUGGAUAGAUACCUGCAGGUUAACCGUCGCACCCUAGACUACCCUCGCCAGCUGUUUGUGUAUGCGCAGAAUAUUGUUGAUGGGAUGGAAUACCUCACACAAAACAAGAUUAUUCAUAGGGAUCUGGCAGCUAGGAAUAUUCUGGUAUCUGAUCAUGAAUCUGUAAAAAUCUCUGAUUUUGGUUUGGCUCGAGAUGUGAGCAGUGAUUACUAUGUGAUGCAGUCUACUACGAAUAUCCCCGUGAAAUGGUUGGCGGUGGAGUGUCUUCUGCACAGCAAGUACAGUCACGCCAGCGAUGUUUGGUCCUUUGGUGUUACACUUUGGGAGAUGUUCACAUUCGGACAGACUCCUGCACUUAAUGGCUGUGAAUCAUUUUUCCAACAUGGAGAAUCCUAUCAGAGGCAUAGACAAGAUCUUAAGGAGUGGGUGGAGAAGCUAGAGGCCGGAGUUCGUCUUCCACAAACUGAUUUCUGUCCAAAUUAUUUGUAUAGCAGAGUAAUGUUGCCGUGCUGGGAAGGAGAUGCGGCAAACCGUCCAACCUUUACCCAGCUCCGCCAUAUGCUGAAACAAGUUGAGUUGGAGGCUACCUAGGACAUGCAUUCAACACCAUCUAGUGGACAUUUUUCACAAUAGAUAGUUCACUAACGUGUUGUUUAACCUUUCUGCCAAAUUUAUGAUUUUAUGCCAAACCGUUGUUGUUAGAUUUUCCGUUUGUUCGUUAUUUGAAUAAGGUUACACGGUAAACAGGAAUUAAAUACAAUACAAUACAAAAUAUUUGCAAAUAUUUUAGAAUUAGCUAAAUUUAAUUUAGGAUUAAUUCUGAAGUCAGGGAUUAUUAUAAUUGUUUGACAAAACAUUUAAUUGUAAACCUUUCAUUCGCAUUUAUUCAAAUUUUGAUAUUUGAAUUUCUAGUAAAAUUAUAUUUAUUUUUUAAUGUUGUUGAUAGUUUUUUUACUGUACCGGAAUGUUAUGUUGUACUGUGCUGUACAGUGCCCAGUACUUAGUAUGUUGCGCUGUAGUUAUCUUUGUACAAUUUACAUCUGUUCUUAAGUACAUUACUUAUGUGUACCCAAUGUACCAUUUACAUUGUACAUUGUACUGUACAUGCUGUACUAUAUCGUGAUUGUCUGGAGAAUGGAAAAGUAUAAAGUUUAAUAAAUAUUAGAAACCCU